rnacentral:rRNA from 1 species
UAGGGAAUAUUGGACAAUGGGUGAGAGCCUGAUCCAGCCAUGCCGCGUGCAGGAAGAAGGCGUUAUGCGUUGUAAACUGCUUUUGCCAGGGGAUAAAAAGACCGUGCGCGGUUAAUUGAAGGUACCUGGUGAAUAAGCCACGGCUAACUACGUGCCAGCAGCCGCGGUAAUACGUAGGUGGCAAGCGUUGUCCGGAUUUAUUGGGUUUAAAGGGUGCGUAGGUGGCCCUGUAAGUCAGUGGUGAAAUAUCUCAGCUUAACUGAGAGGGUGCCAUUGAUACUGCAGGGCUUGAGUACAGAUGAGGUAGGCGGAAUUGACGGUGUAGCGGUGAAAUGCAUAGAUAUCGUCAAGAACACCGAUAGCGAAGGCAGCUUACCAAGCUGUAACUGACACUGAGGCACGAAAGUGUGGGGAUCGAAACAGGAUUAGAUACCCUAGUAGUCCCUGAGCGGGCUGGCAAGGCGCAU